rnacentral:rRNA from 1 species
UCGGGAAUAUUGCGCAAUGGAGGAAACUCUGACGCAGUGACGCCGCGUAUAGGAAGAAGGUUUUCGGAUUGUAAACUAUUGUCGUUAGGGAAGAUACAAGACAGUACCUAAGGAGGAAGCUCCGGCUAACUACGUGCCAGCAGCCGCGGUAAUACGUAGGGAGCAAGCGUUAUCCGGAUUUAUUGGGUGUAAAGGGAGCGUAGACGGCAAUGCAAGUCUGAAGUGAAAGGCCGGGGCUCAACCCCGGGACUGCUUUGGAAACUGUGUAGCUGGAGUACAGGAGAGGUAAGUGGAAUUCCUAGUGUAGCGGUGAAAUGCGUAGAUAUUAGGAGGAACACCAGUGGCGAAGGCGGCUUACUGGACUGUAACUGACGUUGAGGCUCGAAAGCGUGGGGAGCAAACAGGAUUAGA